AUGGUUUUCACACCUGUGUGCUUUGAUUUUCCCAGGCUGUGGUCUGACACCUGUUUCCAAUAGUCUAAAGAACACCUUCUCUAGUCAAGCCUGGAAGCACUUCCAACCUCAGAUGCCCAUGAAAUAUUAUGAACAAAGGCCCUCUUGCUAUCUUUCUUUGCAGAACAAAGGGAAUUUGAAAAGACCUGAGACUUUGUCUGCAGAUGGCUGCAUUAGACAUGGAUUCUUGACCCA
rnacentral:lncRNA from 1 species